CGAUGAGGUAGAGGUGCAGAUAAUAAGAGUAAUCAGCAGGAGAAUGACAUCUAGGAUUGUUGAUAAAAGGAUUAUUUGCCGAAGCAUAAGAAGUGUCACCUUUUUAUCGCUGGUAUGUUUUUGAAAAAGAAGUAUACUGUCAUACAUGGGAAGUGUAUGGAGCACUGCUGAUCGA
rnacentral:ncRNA from 2 species